rnacentral:rRNA from 1 species
UAGGGAAUAUUAGAAAUGGACGAAAGUCUGAUCUAGCAACACCGCGUGUGCGAAGAAGGCCUUCGGGUUGUAAAGCACUUUUUGGAAGGAUUAGGAAGGAAUGUACUUCCAGAAUAAGUCUCGGCUAACUACGUGCCAGCAGCCGCGGUAACACGUAGGAGGCAAACGUUAUCCAGAUUUACUGGGCGUAAAGCGCGUGUAGGUGGUUCUGUAAGUAGGGCGUGAAAGCUCCUGGCUCAACUGGGAGAGGCCGUUCUAAACUGCAGAGCUAGAGGAUGGUAGAGGGAGGUGGAAUUCCGGGUGUAGCGGUGGAAUGCGCAGAUAUCAGGAAGAACACCGGUGGCGAAGGCGGCUUCCUGGUCCUGUACUGACGCUGAUGCACGAAAGCGUGGGGAUCGAACA